GGCUCUGUGGUGCAAUGGCCAGCACGUUGGACUUCUAAUUCAAAGGUUGUGGGUUCAAGUCCCACCAGAGUCA
rnacentral:tRNA from 1 species